GACGAACGCUGGCGGCAUGCCUAAUACAUGCAAGUCGAGCGAACAGAUGGAGUGCUUGCACUUCUGACGUUAGCGGCGAACGGGUGGGUAACACGUAAGGAAUCUACCUAUAAGCGGGGGAUAACAUUCGGAAACGGGUGCUAAUACCGCAUAAUAUCUUCUUCCGCAUGGAAGAAGAUUGAAAGACGGCUCUGCUGUCACUUAUAGAUGACCUUGCGGUGCAUUAGUUAGUUGGUGGGGUAACGGCCUACCAAGACGAUGAUGUAUAGCCGACCUGAGAGGGUGAUCGGCCACAUUGGGACUGAGACACGGCCCAAACUCCUACGGGAGGCAGCAGUAGGGAAUCUUCCGCAAUGGGCGAAAGCCUGACGGAGCAAUGCCGCGUGAGUGAAGAAGGCCUUCGGGUCGUAAAACUCUGUUAUAAGAGAAGAACAAAUUGUAGAGUAACUGCUACAGUCUUGACGGUAUCUUAUCAGAAAGCCACGGCUAACUACGUGCCAGCCGCCGCCGUAA
rnacentral:rRNA from 1 species